rnacentral:rRNA from 1 species
CCGCAAGGUGAGUGGCAGACGGGUGAGUAACGCGUGGGAACCUUCCCUUUGGUACGGAAUAACUUCGGGAAACCGAAGCUAAUACCGUAUAAGUCCUUCGGGAGAAAGACUUAUCGCCAAAGGAUGGGCCCGCGUUGGAUUAGCUAGUUGGUAGGGUAAUGGCCUACCAAGCCUACGAUCUAUAGCUGGUUUGAGAGGAUGAUCCGCCACACUGGGACUGAGACACGGCCCAGACUCCUACGGGAGGCAGCAGUAGGGAAUCUUAGACAAUGGGGGCAACCCUGAUCUAGCCAUGCCGCGUGUGUGAUGAAGGCCCUAGGG